rnacentral:tRNA from 1 species
ACGCCCAUAGCAUAACGGAGAAUGCUACACUCUUCUAAAGUGUACGAUAGGGGUUCGAAUCCUCUUGGGCGUA